ACAACACUGGGGAUAAUAGUGGGUAGGUAGAACACCUGAUAAAGGUAAAUAAUAAAUGUCAGGGAAAUUGUGGGAAAAUCUUGGAAAAGAGGGAAAGUUUGGUUGAGCGUCCUUGGUGGCCGUAUAUAAAGCACGGAGAGGGCGAAAAGCGCCAUUAUUUCAAAGUGGUGUGGAACAGAAACAGUUCAGUCAAUUUUUAAAUGUUUUUUUGUGAAUAGAAAAAGGAAAUACUAAAUUGGCAGUUACAAUUUGUGUGUUUUAUUGUUUUAUUUGUGUGGCGUAUCUAAACAAUUUGAAUAACGCCGCGCAUAAAUCCACAAUUGGACAGCGCCAUCCGACUUGGACGAAAAAGAAGCGGGCAUCCCCAACAAUUAUUUUUGUAUCGCCAGGUGCGGCACAGGGGUUCCAGGCAACGAAAAGGUUCUGGAAACGGCCAAAAGACCUGGGAAACUGCCAGUGGAUAACCCUUGGAACAGGCAAUAGUACCAAUCCGGGAAGCUAACCAGUAGAUCCCACCUAAAAAUC